rnacentral:rRNA from 1 species
GUCCACGCCGUAAACGAUGGGUACUAGGUGUUGUGGGAAUUGACCCCCACAGUGCCGCAGCUAACGCAUUAAGUACCCCGCCUGGGAAGUACGGUCGCAAGAUUAAAACUCAAAGGAAUUGACGGGGGCCCGCACAAGCGGUGGAGCAUGGGUUUAAUUCGAUGCAACGCGAAGAACCUUACCUGGGUUAGACAACACAGGACAGCCGUAGAGAUACGGUUCCCCUUCGGGGGCCUGUGGUUUAGGUGCUGCAUGGCUGUCGU